rnacentral:rRNA from 1 species
UACGGGGGGGGCUAGCGUUGUUCGGAAUUACUGGGCGUAAAGGGCGCGUAGGCGGUCUACUAAGUUGGAUGUGAAAACUCUGGGCUUAACCCAGAGCCUGCAUUCAAAACUGAUAGGCUAGAGUUCUGGAGGGGAUAGCGGAAUUCCUGGUGUAGCGGUGAAAUGCGUAGAUAUCAGGAGGAACACCGGUGGCGAAGGCGCCUAUCUGGCCCGAUACUGACGCUGAGGCGCGAAAGCUAGGGGAGCAAACGGG